UUGUUAUGAAGGCAUGAUGUCUGACCACCACACACUUCUGAACACACCAGGCCAUGCUGAAAGAGAGAAAGAGAUCGUUAGAAGAUAAAGUUUCUGAUUGGGCGAUUGCCUCGUGCUCUAAUGGACGGGUGAGAUGGUCAUGUAAACGGGACGUACCUCUCCUUACAGCGCUGGAGAGCUUCAGAUGCAAUCUUCUUCAGAUUGAUCAGCUUGUCACCUCUGUAAACACCAUCUGUAGGACACACAGAGAGAGCAAACACGUCAGAUUGGAAGAUGAUGCUUUGUGGAUAUAAAAAUUGUUCAUCUCUGAGAACAAGGGCGGGGCAACCUGUCACUCAC